rnacentral:rRNA from 1 species
UACGGGGGGGGCAAGCGUUGUUCGGAAUUACUGGGCGUAAAGGGCGCGUAGGCGCCUUCUAAGUCAGACGUGAAAUCCCUCGGCUCAACCGAGGAACUGCGUCUGAUACUGGAAGGCUUGAAUCCGGGAGAGGGAUGUGGAAUUCCAGGUGUAGCGGUGAAAUGCGUAGAUAUCUGGAGGAACACCGGUGGCGAAGGGCGGCAUCCUGGACCGGUAUUGACGCUGAGGCGCGAAAGCUAGGGGAGCAAACAGG